UGUCUGCUUUGAUCUUGCAGAUGCGAACUGGGUCAGGUGGGGAACCAAGCAGCCCUAAACAUUUGAUAAGGUGCUUAGCAGGUAGCA
rnacentral:SRP_RNA from 2 species